GACAUUCCACGUUUUCCGCGCCGUAGCUAACGCAUUAAGUGCCCCGCCUGGGGAGUACGGCCGCAAGGCUAAAACUCAAAGGAAUUGACGGGGGCCCGCACAAGCGGCGGAGCAUGCGGAUUAAUUCGAUGCAACGCGAAGAACCUUACCAAGGCUUGACAUAUACGAGAACGGGCCAGAAAUGGUCAACUCUUUGGACACUCGUAAACAGGUGGUGCAUGGUUGUCGUCAGCUCGUGUCGUGAGAUGUUGGGUUAAGUCCCGCAACGAGCGCAACCCUCGUUCUAUGUUGCCAGCACGUAAUGGUGGGAACUCAUGGGAUACUGCCGGGGUCAACUCGGAGGAAGGUGGGGAUGACGUCAAAUCAUCAUGCCCCUUAUGUCUUGGGCUUCACGCAUGCUACAAUGGCCGGUACAAAGGGCUGCAAUACCGUGAGGUGGAGCGAAUCCCAAAAAGCCGGUCCCAGUUCGGAUUGAGGUCUGCAACUCGACCUCAUGAAGUCGGAGUCGCUAGUAAUCGCAGAUCAGCAACGCUGCGGUGAAUACGUUCCCGGGUCUUGUACACACCGCCCGUCAAGUCAUGAAAGUCGGUAACACCUGAAGCCGGUGACCCAACCCUUGUGGAGGGAGCCGUCGAAGGUGGGAUCGGUAAUUAGGACUAAGUCGUAACAAGGUAACC
rnacentral:rRNA from 1 species